rnacentral:misc_RNA from 1 species
AAAUGCGAUAAGUAGCGUGAAUUGCAGAAUUCAGUGAAUCAUCGAAUCUUUGAACGCACAUUGCGCCCCUUGGUAUUCCAUGGGGCAUGCCUGUUCGAGCGUCAUUUGUACCCUCAAGCUCUGCUUGGUGUUGGGUGUUUGUCCCCGUCUCCGCGCGUGGACUCGCCCCAAAGUGAUUGGCAGCCGGCGUACUGGUCCCGGAGCGCAGCACAUGUCGCGCAAACGAGUGCCUUGGUACGGCGGCGUCCAUAAGCCCCUCUCUCACGCUCUUGACCUCGGAUCAGGUAGGGAUACCCGCUGAACUUAAGC